GACGAACGCUGGCGGCGUGCCUAAUACAUGCAAGUCGAGCGGACGAAUCGAAAGCUUGCUUUUGAUUCGUUAGCGGCGGACGGGUGAGUAACACGUGGGCAACCUGCCCUGUAGACGGGGAUAACACCGAGAAAUCGGUGCUAAUACCGGAUAACACGAAAUGUCGCAUGACGUUUCGUUGAAAGACGGCGCAAGCUGCCGCUACAGGAUGGGCCCGCGGCGCAUUAGCUAGUUGGUGAGGUAACGGCUCACCAAGGCGACGAUACGUAGCCGACCUGAGAGGGUGAUCGGCCACACUGGCACUGAGACACGGCCCAGACUCCUACGGGAGGCAGCAGUAGGGAAUCUUCCGCAAUGGACGAAAGUCUGACGGAGCAACGCCGCGUGAGCGAAGAAGGCCUUCGGGUCGUAAAGCUCUGUUGUUAGGGAAGAACAAGUAACGCAGUAACUGGCGUUAUCGUGACGGUACCUAAAGAGAAAGCCACGGCUAACUACGUG
rnacentral:rRNA from 1 species